GUGGCAGUCGUCGUGGAGCUUGAAUCCCAGAGCAGCGCCCCUUCUCUCUCCCGCAGAAGCGUUCCCCAUUUCUCCCUAGGGUUUCUGCUUGGCUAUUAGGACGGCGAUUUCGUAGGCGGAGGGCGCGCGCGGGAGGAGCCGUUCUGCUCGUCGGUGGAGGGCGAGAGCGCGCAGGAGGAAGCCUCGCUCGUCGGCGAAGGGAGAGCCGCGCGGUCGUGCGAUGAGUCUGCGUCGGGGAGCGAGGCUACCGGUCUGGCGGCGAGCUUUGCGGCAGAGAGCGAGAAGCGCGCGCCAGUGGGGGAGCGAGACUGCGGAGAUAUAACCGCCCGUGACGGCGGGGUGCUAGGUGACGAAGAUCUGCGAAGGAUUUUGACGAUGUCGAUUUACAGAGAUGACCAUGCUUGGGAUAAGUUUGCCGGACAGGCAGUUAUUAGGUUGUUCUUCCUGGAACUAAAUCUUACGCAAACACAGUUUAAAGGAGUUCUGCCAGAGAGUGCUAGGAGGCGUCACGUGGUCCUUGGUUGGGCCUGGUUAGAACUUGCAAGCUAGGGAGGAGGCGUCACGUGGUCCAGGACGUGGGCGAACGUACUAAUCAGGAACUCAUGAGCAUGCGGGGCCAUGUGGCCGGUGGCGUGCGUUGUAUUUUAUUGACUGAGUGCUGGGUUGGACCAGCUAGCACCCGGAUGCUAGGUUGGACAAAACAGCACCCGGA